rnacentral:rRNA from 1 species
UGGGGAAUAUUGCACAAUGGGCGCAAGCCUGAUGCAGCCAUGCCGCGUGUAUGAAGAAGGCCUUCGGGUUGUAAAGUACUUUCAGCGAGGAGGAAGGCGGUAAGGUUAAUAACCUUAUCGAUUGACGUUACUCGCAGAAGAAGCACCGGCUAACUCCGUGCCAGCAGCCGCGGUAAUAAGGAGGGUGCAAGCGUUAAUCGGAAUUACUGGGCGUAAAGCGCACGCAGGCGGUCUGUCAAGUCGGAUGUGAAAUCCCCGGGCUCAACCUGGGAACUGCAUUCGAAACUGGCAGGCUAGAGUCUUGUAGAGGGGGGUAGAAUUCCAGGUGUAGCGGUGAAAUGCGUAGAGAUCUGGAGGAAUACCGGUGGCGAAGGCGGCCCCCUGGACAAAGACUGACGCUCAGGUGCGAAAGCGUGGGGAGCAAACA